ensembl:lncRNA
CUGAGAUGUGGAUUGCUGUGGGGUUCCUCGUCGGUGGGCGAUGGGGAUCCCGGGAUGGUGAUGGUGGUCCUCUCAGAUACUGUGGGAGUCCGAGAAGCCAGGGAGGGCUGAGGGGGUAAGGGAGGUCUGAGGGAGAAAAUAGGGGGGGUUCAGUGGGAGCCCAGUGAGGGUCAUGCGGUGCUGCUGGGGACUGUGGGGCUCUGUAAGGUCCCAGGUUGCUGGGGGUGGUGUAACGGGAGAAGGUCCUUGAGGAGCUAUGGGGCUCUGUGUGGGGUGUGGGAGGGAUAUAGGGACAUUGGGGGAUAUGGAGACACAGCCUUCAGGAGCAGAAUGCUGUUCAGGAGAAGACGAGAUGUGGGCUGCAGGUGGGACACAGGGGCAUGGGGUAGUAUGGGGACAUAGGGGAGUAUGGGAGGAUGUGGGGAGCGGUUUGAGGUAAAAAGAGGUUGGGGGGGGCAGUGUUGGAGUGGUUUCAUUUCAUCUUGAGAGGAGACUGGGCGUCCCUGUGGCCCAAAGGUGGGGCCCUGAGCCGUAACCCCACAUGAGCCAUAACCCAAGAUGACCUCAUCACCCUGUAUGUGCGUGACCCCAUGGCUGCACGUGACC